rnacentral:rRNA from 1 species
UACGGAGGGUGCGAGCGUUGUCCGGAAUCACUGGGCGUAAAGGGCGCGUAGGCGGCGCGGAUAGUCGGCGGUGAAAGCCCGGAGCUCAACUCCGGGUCGGCCGUCGAUACUUCCGGGCUUGAGCACUGUAGAGGCAGAUGGAAUUCCGGGUGUAGCGGUGGAAUGCGUAGAGAUCCGGAAGAACACCGGUGGCGAAGGCGGUCUGCUGGGCGAGUUGCUGACGCUGAUGCGCGACAGCGUGGGGAG